GACGAACGCUGGCGGCGUGCUUAACACAUGCAAGUCGAACGGUGAAGCGCCUUCCUUUUUGGUGGGUGGGUAGGAGUGGCGAACGGGGGAGUAACACGUUAGUAACCUUCUCCCUCCUGCUUGACAACCGCAAGAAAGUGCGGCUAACACGGGAUAUUCUGGGCCUGUCGCAUGAAUGGUCUGGGACAGAUUUGGUUUCGGUUGGGGAUGGACUCGCGGCGUAUUAGCUAGUUGGUGGGGUGAUGGCGUACCAAGGCGGCGAUGCGUAGCCGGCCUGAGAGGCGGGUCGGCCGUCCCGCAAGGGCUGCACGACCGACACGCCUACGAGGGGCAGCAGCAGGGGAGAUUAUGGCACGGUGGGAGGCAGCAUGGUGCAGCGCCGCCGCGUGGGGGAUGGUGGCCUGAGGGUUGUGCACCUCUUUCGCGAGUGAAGCAGGGUUGCAUCGUUUGUGCGUGGCUUGACGGUAGCUGGAUAGGAAGCGCCGGCUAACUACGUG
rnacentral:rRNA from 1 species